UUCUUUUUUUUAUCUUUCUUUUUUUUUUGGGACUGUGUUUUCUAUAAAUAUUAAACUUUUAACUAAUUUAUUGCAAAAUUUUUAAAUAAAUAUUUGAAUUUCAUUUCAAACAAAUAUCGGAAUAUUUUUUGAAGAAAUUUUUAUCCAACUUGAGCAAAAAUUAUUCGAUAUUGAUUGCACGGACAAGAGUGUUAUCUAUGGGAUUAUGUGUGUGACACAUAAGUGACCCGCCCUCAUUUCUGGAUGCCUUCAAUUACCUAUGUUCUUUUUGGGGGGAUACCUUAUCUCUCGGAGUAAUGAAAGGGUUAUUGAAAUGGAAAAAUUGGACAGAUGUUCAUUGAUUCACUAAUAAAAACUUUUCUAUGGAGCAUAUUAUCUUAGUCUGAUUGACUUAAACAUUUAAAAGCAAUUCAUAAAGUCACUUAAAUAAAAUUAAACUAAAAAAGAUAGUAAAUAAUACUUGAAGUGAUGGAGUUCAAAAAAUUGCUAUGUUAUGGAAAGCCUGCGGUCCUGGAAGUUUAAAUAGUCCUGGGUGCCUUUCCCAAAAGUAUUAUAUUCAAAUUAAAGACGAAACAUCAAUUGACACCGGGAUGUAUUUAAGAUAAUCGCAUAUUGUACAAAAUUAUAGUAAAUAAAAUAAAAUUAUAUUGCCAGUAACCUUGGGUUGGCAAUAUACUAUAUAAUACGGGUUUUUAUUUUCCAACCGAUUACAGAACCCAACCA